CCAAUAGCGUAUAUUAAAGUUGUUGCAGUUAAAAAGCUCGUAGUUGAAUUUCGGGAUCAGUUCGUUGGUCGUGCCUUUGGUAUGUACUGGUGUUACUGGUUCCUCCCUUCUGACGAACCGUCAUGUCAUUAAUUUGGUGUGGCGGGAAAUCAGGACUGUUACUUUGAAAAAAUUAGAGUGUUUAAAGCAGGCUCGCGCUUGAAUACAUUAGCAUGGAAUAAUGAAAUAGGACGUUCGAUCCUAUUUUGUUGGUUUCUAGGAUUGACGUAAUGAUUAAUAGGGAUAGUUGGGGGCAUUAGUAUUCAAUUGUCAGAGGUGAAAUUCUUGGAUUUAUUGAAGACUAACUACUGCGAAAGCAUUUGCCAAGGAUGUUUUCAUUAAUCAAGAACGAAAGUUAGGGGAUCGAAGACGAUCAGAUACCGUCGUAGUCUUAACCAUAAACUAUGCCGACUAGGGAUCGGAUGAUGUUAAUUUUUUAAUGACUCAUUCGGCGCCUUACG
rnacentral:rRNA from 1 species